rnacentral:rRNA from 1 species
GAUGAACGCUGGCGGCGUGCCUAAUACAUGCAAGUCGAGCGAACAGACGAGGAGCUUGCUCCUCUGACGUUAGCGGCGGACGGGUGAGUAACACGUGGAUAACCUACCUAUAAGACUGGGAUAACUUCGGGAAACCGGAGCUAAUACCGGAUAAUAUAUUGAACCGCAUGGUUCAAUAGUGAAAGACGGUUUUGCUGUCACUUAUAGAUGGAUCCGCGCCGCAUUAGCUAGUUGGUAAGGUAACGGCUUACCAAGGCAACGAUGCGUAGCCGACCUGAGAGGGUGAUCGGCCAAACUGGAACUGAGACACGGUCCAGACUCCUACGGGAGGCAGCAGUAGGGAAUCUUCCGCAAUGGGCGAAAGCUUGACGGAGCAACGCCGCGUGAGUGAUGAAGGUCUUCGGAUCGUAAAACUCUGUUAUUAGGGAAGAACAAAUGUGUAAGUAACUAUGCACGUCUUGACGGUACCUAAUCAGAAAGCCACGGCUAACUACGUG